UACGUAGGGUGCGAGCGUUAAUCGGAAUUACUGGGCGUAAAGUGUGCGCAGGCGGCCGAGUAAGUCGAGUGUGAAAGCCCCGAGCUUAACUUGGGAACUGCGCUCGAAACUACUUGGCUAGAGUGUGGCAGAGGGAGGUGGAAUUCCACGUGUAGCGGUGAAAUGCGUAGAGAUGUGGAGGAACACCGAUGGCGAAGGCAGCCUCCUGGGCCAACACUGACGCUCAUGCACGAAAGCGUGGGGAGCAAACAGG
rnacentral:rRNA from 1 species